rnacentral:tRNA from 1 species
GCCUCAUUAGCUUAGUCGGUUGAGCACCGCAUUGGUAAUGCGGAGGUCCCGGGUUCGAUUCCCGGAUGAGGCU